UACGGAGGGUGCAAGCGUUAUCCGGAUUCACUGGGUUUAAAGGGUGCGUAGGUGGGCAGGUAAGUCAGUGGUGAAAUCUCCGGGCUUAACCCGGAAACUGCCAUUGAUACUAUCUGUCUUGAAUACCGUGGAGGUGAGCGGAAUAUGUCAUGUAGCGGUGAAAUGCUUUGAUAUGACAUAGAACACCAAUUGCGAAGGCAGCUCACUACACGAAUAUUGACACUGAGGCACGAAAGCGUGGGGAUCAAACAGG
rnacentral:rRNA from 1 species